CUCUCUCCCCCUCUCUUUCUCUCUCUGUGAGUGUGUGUGUGAUUACUAAUAUCUAGUAUUGGAGGUUAUUAUUGUUUUAGGUGUACAAUCAUGUAGCACAACGUAAUAGUUUAUUACCGGCCAUUCUUGCAUUCAUGUUAUCAUGCAAAGGAUUAAAAAUAAAACUAGGGAUUUGUGUGUGUGUGUGUGUGUGUAGUAGAUGAUCAAACUAUGGUCAACUAGGAAUGUGUAUAGCGUGCUACAUGUCAAAUUAUCAAAGAAAAAUGUGAUCUGAAUAAAGACAUAUUCAGAAGGUGGAGACAUAUUCAGCAGAGGGAAGCAACCUUAUUUUUAUCUCUGCCAAAAAAUAAAAAUAAAAAAACUUUUUACUAGAUUGUUUAUUUUGGACUUUACUACAGUAUUAUGUAUCGAUCUAAUUCUGUAGCUGAUGGCUUGGCAAACUUGGACUUAACAUAUGCUGAGAUUCUCAAACAAUAUUCUUCACCUUGUAUCCCUACCUCAAAUAAAUGCUCUAUCACAAUAGCACACUAUACAACACCCACCACGAUCUAAUUCUGUAGCUGAUGGCUUGGCUAACUUGGGCUUAACAUAUGCUGAGACUCUCAAACAAUAUUUUUCACCUUUGACUGCAGUAUAUGCGCCAUAGGAGUGACUCGGAGUUGGUCACUUCAGGAUAUUGCUUCUUGUUUCUAUUUUUUUUUCUAGCAUCAAGAAAAAAAGAAAAAACAUAUCCACAGCAUGCAUUGUAAAAUUAGUUCACUGAAAGUUUUUUGUUCUUUCAAUUUGAG
rnacentral:lncRNA from 1 species